UCCAAGAAGGAUCUCACAAGAAGACAUUCAGACUUCAAGGUAAAUAAAUCCUCUUCACACUCAGGCCAAGCUCUUCCAUGGAGAUUUCCGGCCAUCGCCUCCACCACACUGGAAAUCACUUUCGACGGUGGAGGCGGACCAAACACCAUAUACCAUAUACCAAACGAACCAUCACCUCAUCCUCUUUCUAAGCCCUAAACUCACAUCCACCAAUUGAGGCUUCAAUGGCGUGUUCCGAGGAAGAGCUCUGGUGAGGGUUGAUUCACAGGGAGAGAGAGAAUUUGAGAUUGAUUUUGUGAGAAUCCCGAGAGUGAAAAUUGUUGAGAUCUCCAACUGAACCGUGAUGAGAACUUUUAUAGAACCCGAUUCUGUUGCAAACUCACAUGAAAUUUAGGUUAAAUGCAUAUCGAAACUAGGAAGAUAGUUGUGAAAUGCAUUAGUUAGUUAGUUGGUUAGUUCGUUAUGUUAAUGAGCUUGGUGUUAAUUUGAAAUGAAUUUGAAGUCAGUUUGAAAAUGAAUUUGAAGGUUGGAAUUUGGCUUCAUUUGAGAGUGGAUGCAUCAUUGUAUCAUAAAGGAUGACCAAAGUAUCUUCAUUUUUUAAACUUAAUCCAAGUACAAGUCAUGUAACUAGUAUGGGAUGCCAUGUUUAGUGUAGUGUAUAAUGCAAUGUUUGUAAACAAACCACGUUUAGGUCAUUCUCAUGUAAUAAAAACAAAAGUGUACUUAAUUUUGAAAGUGGUGAAUGAAAAGUUUUAGUUCAAAUGCAA